rnacentral:rRNA from 1 species
UGCAGUCGAACGGAAGGCCCUUCGGGGUACUCGAGUGGCGAACGGGUGAGUAACACGUGGGUGAUCUGCCCUGCACUCUGGGAUAAGCCUGGGAAACUGGGUCUAAUACCGGAUAGGACCACACACUUCAUGGUGAGUGGUGCAAAGCUUUUGCGGUGUGGGAUGAGCCCGCGGCCUAUCAGCUUGUUGGUGGGGUAAUGGCCCACCAAGGCGACGACGGGUAGCCGGCCUGAGAGGGUGACCGGCCACACUGGGACUGAGAUACGGCCCAGACUCCUACGGGAGGCAGCAGUGGGGAAUAUUGCACAAUGGGCGCAAGCCUGAUGCAGCGACGCCGCGUGAGGGAUGACGGCCUUCGGGUUGUAAACCUCUUUCAGUAGGGACGAAGCGAAAGUGACGGUACCUACAGAAGAAGGACCGGCCAACUACGUGCCAGCAGCCGCGGUAAUACGUAGGGUCCGAGCGUUGUCCGGAAUUACUGGGCGUAAAGAGCUCGUAGGUGGUUUGUCGCGUUGUUCGUGAAAACUCACAGCUUAACUGUGGGCGUGCGGGCGAUACGGGCAGACUAGAGUACUGCAGGGGAGACUGGAAUUCCUGGUGUAGCGGUGGAAUGCGCAGAUAUCAGNAGGAACACCGGUGGCGAANGGCGGGUCUCUGGGCAGUAACUGACGCUGAGGAGCGAAAGCGUGGGUAGCGAACAGGAUUAGAUACCCUGGUAGUCCACGCCGUAAACGNUGGGUACUAGUGU